rnacentral:rRNA from 1 species
GACGAACGCUGGCGGCGUGCUUAACACAUGCAAGUCGAACGGAAAGGCCCUGCUUUUGUGGGGUGCUCGAGUGGCGAACGGGUGAGUAACACGUGAGUAACCUGCCCUUGACUUUGGGAUAACUUCAGGAAACUGGGGCUAAUACCGGAUAGGAGCUCCUGCUGCAUGGUGGGGGUUGGAAAGUUUCGGCGGUUGGGGAUGGACUCGCGGCUUAUCAGCUUGUUGGUGGGGUAGUGGCUUACCAAGGCUUUGACGGGUAGCCGGCCUGAGAGGGUGACCGGCCACAUUGGGACUGAGAUACGGCCCAGACUCCUACGGGAGGCAGCAGUGGGGAAUAUUGCACAAUGGGCGGAAGCCUGAUGCAGCAACGCCGCGUGCGGGAUGACGGCCUUCGGGUUGUAAACCGCUUUCGCCUGUGACGAAGCGUGAGUGACGGUAAUGGGUAAAGAAGCACCGGCUAACUACGUGCCAGCAGCCGCGGUGAUACGUAGGGUGCGAGCGUUGUCCGGAUUUAUUGGGCGUAAAGGGCUCGUAGGUGGUUGAUCGCGUCGGAAGUGUAAUCUUGGGGCUUAACCCUGAGCGUGCUUUCGAUACGGGUUGACUUGAGGAAGGUAGGGGAGAAUGGAAUUCCUGGUGGAGCGGUGGAAUGCGCAGAUACCAGGAGGAACACCAGUGGCGAAGGCGGUUCUCUGGGCCUUUCCUGACGCUGAGGAGCGAAAGCGUGGGGAGCGAACAGGCUUAGAUACCCUGGUAGUCCACGCUGUAAACGGUGGGUACUAGGUGUGGGGUCCAUUCCACGGGUUCCGUGCCGUAGCUAACGCUUUAAGUACCCCGCCUGGGGAGUACGGCCGCAAGGCUAAAACUCAAAGGAAUUGACGGGGCCCCGCACAAGCGGCGGAGCAUGCGGAUUAAUUCGAUGCAACGCGUAGAACCUUACCUGGGUUUGACAUGGAUCGGGAGUGCUCAGAGAUGGGUGUGCCUCUUUUGGGGUCGGUUCACAGGUGGUGCAUGGCUGUCGUCAGCUCGUGUCGUGAGAUGUUGGGUUAAGUCCCGCAACGAGCGCAACCCUUGUUCACUGUUGCCAGCACGUUAUGGUGGGGACUCAGUGGAGACCGCCGGGGUCAACUCGGAGGAAGGUGGGGAUGACGUCAAGUCAUCAUGCCCCUUAUGUCCAGGGCUUCACGCAUGCUACAAUGGCUGGUACAGAGAGUGGCGAGCCUGUGAGGGUGAGCGAAUCUCGGAAAGCCGGUCUCAGUUCGGAUUGGGGUCUGCAACUCGACCUCAUGAAGUCGGAGUCGCUAGUAAUCGCAGAUCGGCAACGCUGCGGUGAAUACGUUCCCGGG